rnacentral:lncRNA from 1 species
GGAGGCAGAGACACAGGCAGAGGGAGAAGCAGGCUCCCUGCCGGGAGCCGGACAUGGGACUCGAUCCCAGAACUCCAGGAUCACGCCCUGGGCUGAAGGCGGACGCUCAACCGCUGAGCCACCUGGGCGUCCCGCGAUUACUUUUCUAAUCAAAUGUACACACAGACUCAGAUACAGAGUAAACAGGGUUGGACUGGAGAGGAGAGGGGUGCGCACUCCCCACGGGCGGGUGGGGCACUCAGGGUCGCGGCGAAGGCCGCCUGCACCGUGCGAGACGCCCGCUGUCGGCCCGCCCAGCGCUGCUGCUCACCUGGGGGUGAGCCCAUUCACCUCACCGCUGCAGCGCAUGCGUCAGAGCGAAACCUCGCCGUGAGCGGGAAUCUCACCGAGGUCUGUCUCCGGCCGGUUUUUACGUCCCUUAUGAGGAAGGAGGUCAACCCGUAUCCGGCCGUCCAGGCCUGCGUCCGCCUUGAGCGGGAUCAGGUGGGACGCCUGCUAUUUCCAGGUGUUUCCAAGUCCGUUGGGGUGGGGCAUGUAAGACUGCUCCUUGACAGCUGGCCUCCUGACGCAGCUGUUCAACAGCCUUUCUUCUGGCACGGUGACAAAGCUGACGUGGCUCUUAGCCUAAACGACUCCAUUUUGUGGAGCAGCCAUUUUAAGAUGAGGACCCUGAAUUCAAAUACCUCUCAGAUGAAGACCCGGAUUGACCACACUCAGUUCAGAUCUUGGUUACCUUCAGCUGAACCUAUUGCCAAUCAAUACAUUUGGGAAUACUAA